rnacentral:rRNA from 1 species
UGGGGAAUAUUGGACAAUGGGGGGAACCCUGAUCCAGCCAUGCCGCGUGUGUGAAGAAGGCCUUAUGGUUGUAAAGCACUUUAAGCGAGGAGGAGGCUCUCUUGGUUAAUACCCAAGAAGAGUGGACGUUACUCGCAGAAUAAGCACCGGCUAACUCUGUGCCAGCAGCCGCGGUAAUACAGAGGGUGCGAGCGGUAAUCGGAUUUACUGGGCGUAAAGCGUGCGUAGGCGGCUUUUUAAGUCGGAUGUGAAAUCCCCGAGCUUAACUUGGGAAUUGCAUUCGAUACUGGGAAGCUAGAGUAUGGGAGAGGAUGGUAGAAUUCCAGGUGUAGCGGUGAAAUGCGUAGAGAUCUGGAGGAAUACCGAUGGCGAAGGCAGCCAUCUGGCCUAAUACUGACGCUGAGGUACGAAAGCAUGGGGAGCAAACAGG